GUGAUCACUUGUUGAAACCAACGGUAUGUCACUACAACGUUCAACGAUCAAAUGAGAACUGAGUAAAAACCUGAAGAGCUUGAAAUAAACGAUAAAGAUUUAGACUCUAACCCAUGCGAGUUUGCCCAGUACAUCAGCGAGAUAGAAUACAAAAGUGAAUGGAAAAAGAUAGAAAACGAGUAAGGAUGAAUGGUCGAACGGGAGCUAAAGAGGUAACAAAGCUCAUUGGAUCACGCCUCUCCACUACUCUUAUUGACUCUACUUACUCAUAUAGUAAUUACUCUGUCAUUGAUGGACACCUUCUAAUUAAAGGAAAAUGAAGAUAAAAAUAGUACAAAACACAUAAAUUAAAUAAAAUUGUUCAAAUCUCUCUCAUGAUUGACGCACUGUUGAACGCUAUAGGUACGCAGAGGGGUCGUUUAUUUGCACGAUGAUAAGGUUGCAAGCCAAACGGCGUUAAAAAAGAUAACACUUUAUAGCUGAAAAGCAUUUUCUGAGUCUUGCAUCGUUUGCGGCCAUCGUUUAUCAUCACCCCUCUAGUAUAAAUUUUUAGGUUUUUUACAAACAUGUGGCCACUUCUUUUUUUUUUUGUUCAAUUCUGUCUCUCUACAUCUCUACAUGUCACAUCCAUUGCAUCUAUGAAAAAAAAUUUCAAGUUUACCAGAAGUCUUUCAAUGACUUACACUCUUCUAGCAUUGCACUGAUAAAUAACAAAUGUGUCAAGACAAAUAUUACUUGAAGGUAUAUUUAUUUUUUGAUGUUUCUUAUUGUGUACUGUGAUUUAAAAGAUUGAUUCAUAAAAGUGUAACUAUUCUUUCCAAGAUGAUGUAUGUAGCAGUUGCAAGAGUCUUAAAUGAGAUAUGAGGGCUGAUACCAGCUAAUAGGCGCCAAUGAUAGGUCGGGAGAGUUUGUUGUCAAAAUAUAAACGACACUAUCGCAUUUAUCUCGUUUCCCAUGAUAAUACAAGAUAAAACUGCAUCAUUACAUUUCCAAAGUAUCAGCUAAAAUGAUAAUUUCAGUCGAAACAGAACGGUCAGAAGAGUUUUCAUGUUUUAUGAAACCUUUUGGAUAUUAAUAAGCAUUUGUUAUUAUUUUUUUUUAUACACCUAUAUUUAUUUGUUUCUUUUUUAAUGAAACAAUCUUUUAAUUAGUAAUUAUUUUAUCUAUUUUUCUCAUUAAUAUUUUAUAUUGUUCAAGUUUUGUGAUUACUUUUGUACCUUUAUUGACACAUUUAUCAGUGUACAUGGCCAAUUGAUGUGCA